AGCAAGAGAAGGGCAUCUGGUGAAUGCCUUGGCACAAAGAGGCGAUGAAAGACGUGGCACUCUGCGAUAAGCUGCGGGGAGGGGAGAGCACCCUUUGAUCCGUGGAUUUCUGAAUGGGGCAACCCGGCGCUUUAGCGUCAUCUGCACCUGAAUACAUAGGGUGUGGAAGCAAACCCGGCGAAGUGAAACAUCUCAGUAGCCGGAGGAAAGGACAUCAACCGAGACUCCGUUAGUAGUGGCGAGCGAACGCGGACCAGGCCAGUGGCAAUUAUGUAAGAACCGGAACCGUCUGGAAAGUCGGGCCAUAGUGGGUGAUAGCCCCGUACGGGUAGAAAGCAUUUUUGUCCUCGAGUAGGGCGGGACACGUGAAAUCCUGUCUGAACAUGGGGGGACCACCCUCCAAGCCUAAGUACUCCUUGUCGACCGAUAGCGAACAAGUACCGUG
rnacentral:rRNA from 14 species